AUUACGUCAUUCCAGUUUGAACACGGAACAAACAUAAUAAACGGCCUGGCCAUAUGGAGAAAGUCAGAAACGAUAAUGCUGGGGCUGGCUGAUGAAGGUAGGCCACGCUCCUUUGGAGGUAGGAUCCUCCCAUUUGGAGCAAGGCCAGGCCAGAGAAAUACAUACUUGAUGAAUUCUGCUCUGUACCAGAAAAUUCUUCAGGAGGUCAUCUGUCAUAUGCUGAAGCUGAAGUGCAAUUGGGUUAUGCAGCAAGGAAAAAAUCCAAAACACACAAAAUCCAUGACUGUGGAGGGGAUGGGAAGGCUUGCGACUUCAGUGUGGAUGGUACCUUUGGUACUCUGCUGACCCAGAUGUGUAUCUGGUGGAAAUCUUCACACCUUGAAAACGUUCCAUAACUGCUCCUGAGCAACUAUAUUCUGUCUCAUACCAUUUAUCAUCCACCCCAUAAUGUCCAGAAGAAAUAUGCUGCUGGAAGUGCCAUCCUUCAUGUGAGUCAAAAGUUGAAGUUUCCAUUUGUUUUAUGGACAUAAAGUUCCUCUAAUUCCAUUGAAAACCCACAAGGUUGUGAGACCCACACUUAAACACCUUAACCAAGAGGACAGCACAUUUUCGGCACUAACCAAAUCUUCUUUAAUAAACAUUUAGUAAUAGAUAGUAUUUAAAUCCACUUGCUCCCUUUCAUUUUAAAUAAAGAUGAAACAGACCUUUUUGAUUUCACAUUUGUCCAUCUGCAUCAAGUACAUUCUUUUUACCCUAUGAAUCAAUUUAUUUUAAUGAGAUAUUUUAGAUAUUAUUAUAUCGAAAUAUAGAUAUAAAAUAUAUUAUUGUCUUUCUUACAUCUCAAUAAUCUUAUUAAAAAUCAUUCUACAAAUGUUUUUGCAAAUGUGUGAAGUGCCCCCAUAGUUAGAGUGUCUGCCUGGACAUGUAGUUUCAAUCCCAUUUCCUUGGCACUAAGCUUUACAGAGAUGGAUUGGGGUAACAGGCGUGCGCUAGUCUCAGGUCAUGUCUGGGAGAACUACUUGUGCGAGAAUUUGCUUAGCAUCACUGAAAACUGUAAAAUAUCUGACCUACUAAGCAUCCAAGGUUUGAAUGUGGUAUUCAUCUAUUCAGUCAUGCUUGUGUGAAUCAUUUAUUUUACUUUUUCUAAUGUUACUGUUUCGUAUUAUUCUGUCUGUUUGUUUGAUUUUAUGUCUCACUAUAUAAUCUUGUAUGUAUUUUAUGUUCGGACCCCAGGAAGAUUAGCUGCACACUGUGUAUUGCUAAUGGGGAUCCUAAAUAAAUAAAUAAAUAAA